CAUGCUGUAAACGUUGGGCACUAGGUGUGGGGGCCGCCCUUGGUUUCCGCGCCGUAGCUAACGCUUUAAGUGCCCCGCCUGGGGAGUACGGCCGCAAGGCUAAAACUCAAAGGAAUUGACGGGGGCCCGCACAAGCGGCGGAGCAUGCGGAUUAAUUCGAUGCAACGCGAAGAACCUUACCAAGGCUUGACAUGCACCCUGGGUGGCCUGAGAGGGUCGCGCAUUUGGUUGGGGGUGUGCAGGUGG
rnacentral:rRNA from 1 species